UGAGGGGCUGACCUCUAGGCCUUAAUGUCCUUCCUGGACGCCUACCUCCAUCCUAGCCUGUUUCUAUGGGAGGGGUUCCCUGCACCUCAGUUCUGUGAAAGUCAUGGAAGAGUGUAAAUAUUUAUGAUUUUAUACCUGUGGGGCUGAGGCGGUGCAGCAUUUUUUAUGGUGACAGAUGUAUAUUUUGGUAACGACUACAGGCUCAGUAUUGUCCUGGGGCCAGCCCUGGCCACAUCUACCCCAGCCCAGAUGGUGUAUUGGGGGGAGGGAGACUUUCCAUUAAAGCAGUUUUAUAACCUUUGCCUUCCCUGAGCCCUUCAUUCUGAGCUGUAGGCCAGGCUGGGCCUGGAGUCAAUAAACAACUGUGUCUUGCAAAAAAAAAAAAAAAAAA
rnacentral:lncRNA from 1 species